rnacentral:rRNA from 1 species
AGCAGCCGCGGUAAUUCCAGCUCCAAUAGCGUAUAUUAAAGUUGUUGCAGUUAAAAAGCUCGUAGUUGAAUUUCGGGAUUAGUACGCUGGUCGUGCCUUCGGUAUGUACUGGUGUUACUGAUUCCUACCUUCUGAAGAACCGUCAUGUCAUUAAUUUGGUGUGGCGGGGAAUCAGGACUGUUACUUUGAAAAAAUUAGAGUGUUUAAAGCAGGCUCGCGCUUGAAUACAUUAGCAUGGAAUAAUGAAAUAGGACGUUCGAUCCUAUUUUGUUGGUUUCUAGGAUUGACGUAAUGAUUAAUAGGGAUAGUUGGGGGCAUUAGUAUUCAAUUGUCAGAGGUGAAAUUCUUGGAUUUAUUGAAGACUAACUACUGCGAAAGCAUUUGCCAAGGAUGUUUUCAUUAAUCAAGAACGAAAGUUAGGGGAUCGAAGACGAUCAGAUACCGUCGUAGUCUUAACCAUAAACUAUGCCGACUAGGGAUCGGAUGAUGUAAUUUUUAAUGA